rnacentral:rRNA from 1 species
AUUGAACGCUGGCGGCAUGCUUUACACAUGCAAGUCGAACGCGAAAGUCCUUCGGGCGAGUAGAGUGGCGGACGGGUGAGUAACGCGUGGGAAUCUACCCUAGAGCGGGGGACAACCCGGGGAAACCCGGGCUAAUACCGCAUACGUCCUACGGGAGAAAGAGGGCCUCUGCUUGCACGCUCUCACUCCAGGGAUGAGCCCACGUCCGAUUAGCUAGUUGGUAGGGUAAAGGCCUACCAAGGGCCACGAUCGGUAGCUGGUCUGAGAGGAUGAUCAGCCACACUGGGACUGAGACACGGCCCAGACUCCUACGGGAGGCAGCAGUGGGGAAUAUUGGACAAUGGGCGCAAGCCUGAUCCAGCAAUGCCGCGUGUGUGAAGAAGGCCUGCGGGUUGUAAAGCACUUUCAGUGGGGAAGAACAGAUUCGGGUCAAUACCCCGGAGCCCUGACGUUACCACAGAAGAAGUCACCGGCUAACUCCGUGCCAGCAGCCG